rnacentral:rRNA from 1 species
AACGGUGAAGCCCAGCUUGCUGGGUGGAUCAGUGGCGAACGGGUGAGUAACACGUGAGCAAUCUGCCCCUGACUCUGGGAUAAGCGCUGGAAACGGCGUCUAAUACUGGAUACGAACCGUGGAGGCAUCUUCAACGGUUGGAAAGAUUUUUUGGUCAGGGAUGAGCUCGCGGCCUAUCAGCUUGUUGGUGAGGUAAUGGCUCACCAAGGCAUCGACGGGUAGCCGGCCUGAGAGGGUGACCGGCCACACUGGGACUGAGACACGGCCCAGACUCCUACGGGAGGCAGCAGUGGGGAAUAUUGCACAAUGGGCGCAAGCCUGAUGCAGCAACGCCGCGUGAGGGAUGACGGCCUUCGGGUUGUAAACCUCUUUUAGCAGGGAAGAAGCGAAAGUGACGGUACCUGCAGAAAAAGCGCCGGCUAACUACGUGCCAGCAGCCGCGGUAAUACGUAGGGCGCAAGCGUUAUCCGGAAUUAUUGGGCGUAAAGAGCUCGUAGGCGGUUUGUCGCGUCUGCUGUGAAAUCCCGAGGCUCAACUUCGGGUCUGCAGUGGGUACGGGCAGACUAGAGUGCGGUAGGGGAGAUUGGAAUUCCUGGUGUAGCGGUGGAAUGCGCAGAUAUCAGGAGGAACACCGAUGGCGAAGGCAGAUCUCUGGGCCGUAACUGACGCUGAGGAGCGAAAGGGUGGGGAGCAAACAGGCUUAGAUACCCUGGUAGUCCACCCCGUAAACGUUGGGAACUAGUUGUGGG